GACGAACCGUGCGAACGUUGUUCGGAAUCACUGGGCUUAAAGGGCGCGUAGGCGGGCCGGACGGUCCGCGGUGAAAUCCCCCCGCUCAACGGGGGAACGGCCGCGGAUACCGCCGGCCUCGAGGGGGGUAGGGGCGAGCGGAACGCUGGGUGGAGCGGUGAAAUGCGUUGAUAUCCAGCGGAACUCCGGUGGCGAAGGCGGCUCGCUGGACCUUCACUGACGCUGAUGCGCGAAAGCCAGGGGAGCGAACAGG
rnacentral:rRNA from 1 species